CAAAUACUCCCUCUAUCCCAAAUUUCUUGUCUUAGAUUUGUCUAGAUAUGGAUGUAUCUAAUACUAAAAUGUGACUUGAUACAUCCGUAUCUAGACAAAUCUAAGACAAGAAUUUUGGGACGGAGGGAGUACUUU
rnacentral:pre_miRNA from 1 species